rnacentral:rRNA from 1 species
AACGAACGCUGGCGGCAUGCCUAACACAUGCAAGUCGAACGGGAUCCUAGCUUGCUAGGUGAGAGUGGCGGACGGGUGAGUAACACGUGGGAAUCUGCCUUUUGGUUCGGAUAACCGCGGGAAACUGCGGCUAAUACCGAAUGCCCCUCGAGAGAGGAAAGAUUUAUCGCCAGAAGAGGAGCCCGCGUCCGAUUAGGUAGUUGGUGGGGUAAAGGCCUACCAAGCCGACGAUCGGUAGCUGGUCUGAGAGGAUGAUCAGCCACACUGGGACUGAGAUACGGCCCAGACUCCUACGGGAGGCAGCAGUGGGGAAUAUUGGACAAUGGGGCAACCCUGAUCCAGCAAUGCCGCGUGAGUGAUGAAGGCCUUAGGGUUGUAAAGCUCUUUUGCCAGGGAAGAUGAUGACUGUACCUGGAGAAUAAGCCCCGGCUAACUUCGUGCCAGCAGCCGCGGUAAU